AUUGACCGCUAGCGGGAUGCCUUACACAUGCAAGUCGACCGGAGUGGCGAACGGGUGCGGACGGUAUCGGAACGUGCCCAGUAGCGGGGGAUAACUACGCGAAAGCGUAGCUCAUACCGCAUACUAUUGGAGCGGCCGAUAUCGGAUUAGCUAGUUGGUGGGGUAACGGCUCACCCAGGCGACGAUCCGUAGAUGGUUUGAGAGGACGACCAGCCACACUGGGACGUAGACACGGCCCAGACUCAUACGGGAGGAAGCAGGGGGGAAUUUUGGAAAACGGGGGAAACCCUGGGCCAGCUAACCCGCGUGGACGAGGAAGGCCUUCGGGUUGUAAAGCACUUUUGGCAGGAAAGCGGUAGCUGCAGAAUAAGCACCGGCUAACGACGUGCCAGCAGCCGCGGUAAUUC
rnacentral:rRNA from 1 species